ACUCUGUUGGUGAAUGCAGUCUCAAGCCUACUCACAUUCAAGUGGGUGUCAUGGGAGCUCUUGCUGAUGGUGAGGAGCCUCAUUAUCUUAAGACAACACACAGUGGAGAUGUGCUUUACGUAAUUGGCCUGCCCUGUGAAAACCCCUGGCUGUUUUUUCAGAUAAGGAGACUGAAGCAUCUAGAGUUGGAGUAAUUUCCACAAGAUCACAGAGGCAAGAUUUCACUCUGUCACCCAGACUGGAGUGCAGUGGCACAAACAUAGCUCACUGAAGCCUCAAACUCCUGGGCUCAAGAGAUCCUUCUGCUUCAGCCUCCUGAGUAGCUGGGACUUCAGAAUCCCAGUCCUCUCUCUCUCACUGACCCCGAAGAUAAGCAUUGGAAAGGGGAGCUUUGGGGAAAUGAAUCUGCCCUGUCAUCUGCGUAUAGAGCUAAUCUUAAAUCCCAACUGCCAAAUGGAUCCUGAGGUGUCAGAAACUCUCCCGAGAUAAGGGGGCUUCUAGCAACCAUCUGCAUUCUGGACCCAGGUAUGUUGUGUUUGUAAUCUCAUUCACUCACUCGUUCAUUCUUCCAUGCCUCCCCUGAUCCCCUUCCUGAAGUAAGAGCCUUCUGUUGAUGUCGAUGAAAGAACCCUGUUUAUUUUCUUCAACUGAGAGUCUAACACACUGUGCCCUGGGCAAGGUUGAGAAUCAGCCAAAGCUUGUCUUCUUUGUCCAAUAUAAUCUAAUAAAUGGGUGUGUAACCACUUG
ensembl:lncRNA LINC00970 long intergenic non-protein coding RNA 970